UGCGUAGGCGGCUUUUUAAGUUUGGUGUGAAAUCUCCCGGCUCAACUGGGAGGGUGCGCCGAAUACUGAGAGGCUAGAGUGUGGGAGAGGAAAGUGGAAUUCCUGGUGUAGCGGUGAAAUGCGUAGAUAUCAGGAGGAACACCGGUGGUGUAAACGGCUUUCUGGACCAUAACUGACGCUGAGGCACGAAAGCGUGGGUAGAAC
rnacentral:rRNA from 1 species